rnacentral:rRNA from 1 species
UACUCCCCAGGCGGUCAACUUCACGCGUUAGCUACGUUACUAAGGAAAUGAAUCCCCAACAACUAGUUGACAUCGUUUAGGGCGUGGACUACCAGGGUAUCUAAUCCUGUUUGCUCCCCACGCUUUCGUGCAUGAGCGUCAGUGUUAUCCCAGGGGGCUGCCUUCGCCAUCGGUAUUCCUCCACAUCUCUACGCAUUUCACUGCUACACGUGGAAUUCUACCCCCCUCUGACACACUCUAGCCGUGCAGUCACCAAUGCAAUUCCCAGGUUAAGCCCGGGGAUUUCACAUCGGUCUUGCACAACCGCCUGCGCACGCUUUACGCCCAGUAAUUCCGAUUAACGCUUGGACCCUACGUAUUACCGCGGCUGCUGGCACGUAGUUAGCCGGUCCUUAUUCUUCCGGUACCGUCAUCCACACCUAAUAUUAGUAAGUGCGAUUUCUUUCCGGACAAAAGUGCUUUACAACCCGAAGGCCUUCUUCACACACGCGGCAUUGCUGGAUCAGGGUUGCCCCCAUUGUCCAAAAUUCCCCACUGCUGCCUCCCGUAGGA